AGGAUCUAUGAGAGGGCAAGUCUGGUGCCAGCAGCCGCGGUAAUUCCAGCUCUCAAAGUGUAUAUCGUCAUUGCUGCGGUUAAAAAGCUCGUAGUUGGAUCUGCGUCUCAGGACCUGGUCCAUCCAUUGGAUGAGAACUGGGCUCCUAGGCUAAUAUUGCCAGUUUUCCAUACGUUACCUUGAUUGGUUGCAUAUGGUGGCUAGCAAGUUUACCUUGAAAAAAUUAGAGUGCUCAAUGCGGGCUAAUGCCUGAAUACUCGUGCAUGGAAUAAUGAAAUAGGAUCUCGGUUCUAUUUUGUUGGUUUUCUGAUCUGAGAUAAUGGUUAAGAGGGACGGACGGGGGCAUUCGUAUCGCUGCGUGAGAGGUGAAAUUCUUGGACCGUAGCGAGACGUACGACUGCGAAAGCAUUUGCCAAGAAUGUCUUCAUUAAUCAAGAACGAAAGUCAGAGGUUCGAAGGCGAUCAGAUACCGCC
rnacentral:rRNA from 1 species